AUUGAACGCUGGCGGCAGGCCUAACACAUGCAAGUCGAGCGGCGCGGCGGCCGGGGGAGUGAUGCCUAGGAAUGUGCAUGGGAGUGGGGGAUAACGUUCGGUAACGGGCGCUGAUACCGCAUCCUUUCAGAUGAGCAUAGGUGGGUUUAGCUAGUUGGUGGGGUAAAGGCCUACCAAGGCGACGAUCCGUAACUGGUCUGAGAGGAUGAUGAUUCACACUGGAACUGAGACACGGUCCAGACUCCUACGGGAGGCAGCAGUGGGGAAUAUUGGACAAUGGGCGAAAGCCUGAUCCAGCCAUGCCGCGUGUGUGAAGAAGGUCUUCGGGUUGUAAAGCACUUUAAGUUGGGAGGCGUUACCAACAGAAGAAGCACCGGCUAACUUCGUGCCAGCCGCCGCGGUAAUAC
rnacentral:rRNA from 1 species